UCUGGACCUGCUCGACGAGGGGACACGGGCCCGGCUGACGUCCGGCGCGGCGGAGGCCGCGGGGGUGGGCCCGCUGUUCGAGUCGGCGGUGCCGGGGC
rnacentral:tRNA from 1 species